AACAAACGCUGGCGGCGUGCCUAACACAUGCAAGUCGUACGAGAAAGUCCGCUUCGGUGGAUUAGUAAAGUGGCGCACGGGUGAGUAACGCGUGGAUAAUCUACCCUUUAGUCUGGAAUAACUUAUCGAAAGGUGAACUAAUACCGGAUAAUAUCCCGAUUUCUUCGGCGAACGGGAUCAAAGAAGGCCUCUGCUUGCAAGCUUUUACUGAAGGAUGAGUCCGCGUACCAUUAGCUAGUUGGUAGGGUAAUGGCCUACCAAGGCGACGAUACGUAGCCGACCUGAGAGGGUGAUCGGCCACACUGGGACUGAGACACGGCCCAGACUCCUACGGGAGGCUG
rnacentral:rRNA from 1 species